GACGAACGCUGGCGGCGUGCUUAACACAUGCAAGUCGAACGGAAAGGCCCUGCUUUUGUGGGUUGCUCGAGUGGCGAACGGGUGAGUAACACGUGAGUAACCUGCCCUUGACUUUGGGAUAACUUCAGGAAACUGGGGCUAAUACCGGAUAGGAUCUCCUGCUGCAUGGUGGGGGUUGGAAAGUUUCGGCGGUUGGGGAUGGACUCGCAGCUUAUCAGCUUGUUGGUGGGGUAGUGGCUUACCAAGGCUUUGACGGGUAGCCGGCCUGAGAGGGUGACCGGGCACAUUGGGACUGAGAUACGGCCCAGAAUCCUACGGGAGGCAGCAGUGGGGAAUAUUGCACAAUGGGCGGAAGCGUGAGGCAGCAACGCCGCGUGCGGGAUGACGGCCUUCGGGUUGUAAACAGCUUUCGCCGGUGACGAAGAGUGAGUGACGGUAAUGGGUAAAGAAGCACCGGCUAACUACGUG
rnacentral:rRNA from 1 species